GCUGUGCCUAGCAAGAGCCAGGGGCCCAGGGGGUGUGCCUUGUCAAGGAAGGUCCCUGGGCUAACCUUUAUGCAGUGUUUGGAAAUUUUAAUUUAAAUAAUUAAUUUAAUUAAUUAAUUAAAUUAAUAAUUAAUUAAUUAAUUAAAUUAAUAAUAAUUAUUAUAAAUAAAUUAAUAAUAAUUAAUUAAUAUUAUUUCGUCUGAGCUCCCGUCAACCUCUCGGCGGCCCUGUUCUUCAAUCAUUUGAAAUGACCUUACACCCCCCUGAAGAAUCCCUAAGGAUGGCCCUGGGUCAAGGGUGCCCUUCACGGGGAACACUGAGAUUUCAUCCUACCCAUAAUUAAGAUUCUGGAAAAUGAGUACCAGUGGUGGCGGAACAGAUUUCAUUCUGGGGGGGCUAAAAUUUUUUUUCCGUGACAGCCCCCCCCCCCGUCGCCAAAAAAUUUUCGGUCAGUGUACCAUUUUAGGGGUACAAAAAUUUUUCCCCGACACAUACAAGAAAAGGGAUGAAAAAAAUUUUUCCGGAAAUAUAACAAAAAUUUUUUCAAGAAAUACACUUUUUAAACAAAAUACUGUAAAUUUUUCCCCCUUAUACCUACAUUUUCAAAAAAUAACCUAAAUUUUUCUUUAAUUAUCUAAAUUUUUCCAGAAAAAACUAAAUUUUCUGGGGGGGCUUACUUCUGGGGGGGCUUUUGCCCCCCUAGCCCCCCCGGUUCCGCCGCCCCUGAUGAGUACUCCAUAUGCCCCUAGUGUCUAAUAGAAUGUGAAUUUCAAGUUGUAAAAUAAAAGGAAAGUGCUAUUUUUGCAGGGUAUAUCCAAGUGACCCAAAAAAUAGAUUGAUUAUGUGAUCAGCUUUAACUUCUUAAAAACAACUUAAAAUCUAACUUUACCCAGAAAUAGUUAAAUACUUUGCAUUCUAUGGAAUACAAAGCUCAUUUGUAACUUACUGUUUGCAAUGAGUAAAAUUAAUAUUGUAUUAUGUAAUGUAAUCUUCAAAAAUUAUGAAGGGCCUUAGAACUCCUCUCCCAACUAAAGAAACACAUUAAAGGGGAUGGCUUGGUCCAUUAUACCCUACUGUUAAUGACAGGGAUGGCUUUACUGGGAGGUGCACGCCCUGGCCAGAGGGUGUGUGUGUUAUUUUUCAUGAUAAAGCAAAAAAUUAUUAGAGGCACAAUAAGAUACAGUAAUUUGAGUAAUAACAUGAUGAUAAGCGAACUGUGAACAACAAUUACAAUUCAAAUACAGUAGUCAAGCA